GACGAACGCUGGCGGCAUGCCUAAUACAUGCAAGUCGAGCGAACAGAUGAAGUGCUUGCACUUCUGACGUUAGCGGCGAACGGGUGAGUAACACGUAAGGAAUCUACCUAUAAGCGGGGGAUAACAUUCGGAAACGGGUGCUAAUACCGCAUAAUAUCUUCUUCCGCAUGGAAGAAGAUUGAAAGACGGCUCUGCUGUCACUUAUAGAUGACCUUGCGGUGCAUUAGUUAGUUGGUGGGGUAACGGCCUACCAAGACGAUGAUGCAUAGCCGACCUGAGAGGGUGAUCGGCCACAUUGGGACUGAGACACGGCCCAAACUCCUACGGGAGGCAGCAGUAGGGAAUCUUCCGCAAUGGGCGAAAGCCUGACGGAGCAAUGCCGCGUGAGUGAAGAAGGCCUUCGGGUCGUAAAACUCUGUUAUAAGAGAAGAACAAAUUGUAGAGUAACUGCUACAGUCUUGACGGUAUCUUAUCAGAAAGCCACGGCUAACUACGUGCCAGCAGCCGCGGUAAUACGUAGGUGGCAAGCGUUGUCCGGAUUUAUUGGGCGUAAAGGGAGCGCAGGUGGUUUCUUAAGUCUGAUGUGAAAGCCCACGGCUUAACCGUGGAGGGUCAUUGGAAACUGGGAAACUUGAGUACAGAAGAGGAAUGUGGAACUCCAUGUGUAGCGGUGGAAUGCGUAGAUAUAUGGAAGAACACCAGUGGCGAAGGCGACAUUCUGGUCUGUUACUGACACUGAGGCUCGAAAGCGUGGGGAGCAAACAGGAUUAGAUACCCUGGUAGUCCACGCCGUAAACGAUGAGUGCUAGGUGUUGGAGGGUUUCCGCCCUUCAGUGCCGCAGUUAACGCAUUAAGCACUCCGC
rnacentral:rRNA from 2 species